UGACCUCGGAUCAGACGUGAUUACCCGCUGAAUUUAAGCAUAUUAUUAAGCGGAGGAAAAGAAACUAACAAGGAUUCCCCUAGUAACGGCGAGUGAACGGGGAAGAGCCCAACACCGAAUCCCUUGGCGCAAGUCAACGGGAAAUGUGGUGUUAAGGUAGCCCUUCGUGUCAGUCUAGGCGUCUCAAGUCCACCUGAUUGUGGCUCAAGCCCAGAGAGGGUGUAAGGCCCGUAGAGACGCUCCGACUGAUUCCUGGGGUUUACCUACGAGUCGGCUUGUUUGGGAAUGCAGGCCAAAGCGGGUGGUAAACUCCAUCCAAGGCUAAAUACUGGCACGAGUCCGAUAGCGGACAAGUACCGUGAGGGAAAGUUGAAAAGAACUUUGAAGAGAGAGUUCAAUAGUACGUGAAACCGCUUAGAGGCAAACGGAUGGUGCUCAUACUGGCCUGAGGAAUUCAACUGUGACGGUGGCUGGACGAGCUGGCGUUCCGAUCUCUCUUUUGGGACGGGCGUCGGUUUGGCUAUCAGCUCCGACAUGGUGCACUUUCCUUGGUGCCUCCGCCACGACCGACGACACUGGCUACCCGCGGCUGGGGUAAGGUGACAAACUGCUUCGGCAAUUUGUGUUAUAGACCCCGGCGUCGGACAUGGUUUGGCCAGGACGUCGAGCUUGCGGCGCCCGCUCCUUGUGGGCUCGCAUGUUGGCUAGCUUGGCUGCGCCGAUGCUUGCACUGGACAACCAGUACAGGUGACGGUUGUGGUCUUGUCUCUAGUUGGCCUCUGCGAGUUUGGCGCCUAUAGUCUGUGGUGUACUUGUGGGUAGACUAUCCGACCCGUCUUGAAACACGGACCAAGGAGUCUAACAUGUGCGCGAGUCAUGGGGAUUCUACGAAACCCAAAGGCGCAGUGAAAGUAAAGGCCUGCUUCUCGUAGGCUGAGGUGGGAUCUCGUGCAUCGCGAUUGGCGAGCGCACCACCGGCCCGUCCUAUCUGUCUCUGUCAGUGGGGCGGCGCAAGAGCGUACACGUUGGGACCCGAAAGAUGGUGAACUAUGCUUGCGCAGCUCGAAGUCAGUGGAAACACUGAUGGAGGAGCGCAGCGUUUCUGACGUGCAAAUCGAUCGUCAAACGUGAGUAUAGGGGCGAAAGACUAAUCGACCAAUCUGUAAGCUGGUUCCCUCCGAAGUUUCCCUCAGGAUAGCUGGCACUCGGAAACAGUUUUUAUCCGUAAAGCGAAUGAUUAGAGGCAUUUUGGGUCGAAACGACCUCGAGCCUAUUUCUCAAACUUUAA
rnacentral:ncRNA from 1 species